CGGGGCGUGGCGCAGCCUGGCAGCGCGCCUGCUUUGGGAGCAGGAGGUCGCUGGUUCGAAUCCAGUCGCCCCGACCA
rnacentral:tRNA from 1 species